UUUGCAGAUCACCAAGUCUUGCAUGCUUGACGGUUCAUUCAAGUGUCUGCAUCAACUUUUGUCGGUAGGCCUAUGGUAUUUAAAGGAAGAUGUAUGUUUGAUGUAGUUUGAUGUUUAGCGUUUCCUUUAGAGCUAAUACACGCGCGGUCUGGAUAACUUUCCUAAUGUCUCGCACGGGAAACGGAUUAUUUAAGUGUCUUGCCAAUCAACUUUCCUCCGUUUGGUAUUUGCCUACUGAGGUUCUUUUGGGUAUCAUUCGAUAAGAUAUCAGGAUUUGAUUCCUUAUAAAGAGCGUGAGAAACGGCUACCAGAUUUAAGAAAGGCAACAGACAUGGAAAUUACCGAUUUCCAUUAUGGAAAAGUAGUGACAAA
rnacentral:ncRNA from 1 species